UACGAAGGGGGCUAGCGUUGCUCGGAAUUACUGGGCGUAAAGCGCACGUAGGCGGACUCUUAAGUCAGGGGUGAAAUCCUGGAGCUCAACUCCAGAACUGCCUUUGAUACUGAGAGCCUUGAGUCCGGAAGAGGUAAGUGGAACUGCGAGUGUAGAGGUGAAAUUCGUAGAUAUUCGCAAGAACACCAGUGGCGAAGGCGGCUUACUGGUCCGGUACUGACGCUGAGGUGCGAAAGCGUGGGGAGCAAACAGG
rnacentral:rRNA from 1 species